GGCCUUUUGGUUGUAAAGCACUUUAAGCGAGGAGGAGGCUACCGAGAUUAAUACUCUUGGAUAGUGGACGUUACUCGCAGAAUAAGCACCGGCUAACUCUGUGCCAGCAGCCGCGGUAAUACAGAGGGUGCAAGCGUUAAUCGGAUUUUCUGGGCGUAAAGCGCGCGUAGGUGGCCAAUUAAGUCAAAUGUGAAAUCCCGAGCUUAACUUGGGAAUUGCAUUCGAUACUGGUUGGCUAGAGUAUGGGAGAGGAUGGUAGAAUUCCAGGUGUAGCGGUGAAAUGCGUAGAGAUCUGGAGGAAUACCGAUGGCGAAGGCAGCCAUCUGGCCUAAUACUGACACUGAGGUGCGAAAGCAUGGGGAGCAAACAGGAUUAGAUACCCUGGUAGUCCAUGCCGUAAACGAUGUCUACUAGCCGUUGGGGCCUUUGAGGCUUUAGUGGCGCAGCUAACGCGAUAAGUAUUCCGCCUGGGUAGUACGAUCGCAAGGUUAAAACUCAAAGAAAUUGACGGGGACCCGCACAAGCGGUGGAUGAUGUUGUUUAAUUCGAUGCAACGCGAAGAACCUUACCUGGGCUUGACAUCCUGCGCUACCCUAGGAAACUAGGGGUUCUCUUCGGAGACGCAGUGACAGGUGCUGCAUGGCUGUCGUCAGCUCGUGUCGUGAGAUGUUGGGUUAAGUCCCGCAACGAGCGCAACCUCUGUCGUUAGUUGCCAGCAUU
rnacentral:rRNA from 1 species